rnacentral:rRNA from 1 species
GAGUUUGAUCUUGGCUCAGAUUGAACGCUGGCGGCAUGCCUUACACAUGCAAGUCGAACGGCAGCACGGGAGCUUGCUCCUGGUGGCGAGUGGCGAACGGGUGAGUAAUGCAUCGGAACGUAUCCUGGAGUGGGGGAUAACGUAGCGAAAGUUACGCUAAUACCGCAUAUUCUGUGAGCAGGAAAGCGGGGGACCUUCGGGCCUCGCGCUCUUGGAGCGGCCGAUGUCGGAUUAGCUAGUUGGUGAGGUAAAGGCUCACCAAGGCGACGAUCCGUAGCAGGUCUGAGAGGAUGAUCUGCCACACUGGAACUGAGACACGGUCCAGACUCCUACGGGAGGCAGCAGUGGGAAUUUUGGACAAUGGGGCAACCCUGAUCCAGCCAUGCCGCGUGAGUGAAGAAGGCCUCGGUUG